AACGAACGCUGGCGGCAUGCCUAACACAUGCAAGUCGAACGAGACCUUCGGGUCUAGUGGCGCACGGGUGCGUAACGCGUGGGAACCUGCCCUUAGGUUCGGAAUAACUCCCCGAAAGGGGUGCUAAUACCGGAUAAUGUCUUCGGACCAAAGAUUUAUCGCCUUUGGAUGGGCCCGCGUUGGAUUAGCUAGUUGGUAGGGUAAAAGCCUACCAAGGCGACGAUCCAUAGCUGGUCUGAGAGGAUGAUCAGCCACACUGGGACUGUGACACGGCCCAGACUCCUACGGGAGGCAGCAGUGGGGAAUAUUGGAAAAUGGGCGAAAGCCUGAUCCAGCAAUGCCGCGUGAGUGAUGAAGGCCUUAGGGUUGUAAAGCUCUUUUACCCGGGAUGAUAAUGACAGUACCGGGAGAAUAAGCUCCGGCUAACUCCGUG
rnacentral:rRNA from 1 species